rnacentral:rRNA from 1 species
AUGGGCAAGGACUGCGGCAACCACCACCACGACCACUUCCGGAACGGCUGCCGGCGCCUCCUGAAAGUGCUCCUGGGCCUGGCCUUCAUCCUCGCCGUCAUCGCCCUCAUCGUCUACCUGGUGCUCCGCCCCACGCACCCGGGCUUUUUCCUCCAGGACGCCUCCCUCCGGCAGCUCGACCUCUCCAACUCCACGGGCCUCCUCUCCACCUCCCUCCAGGUCACCGUCGCCUCCCGCAACCCCAACGACCGCGUCGGUGUCUACUACGACCGCCUCGACGUCUACGCCUCCUACAAGGACCAGCAGAUCACCGUCGCCGCCUCGCUCCCGGCGGUCUACCAGGGCCACGGCGACGUCGACGUAUGGUCACCAGUGCUCGACGGGCCCAACGUGCCCUUCGCGCCGUACCUCGCCAGCGCCAUCUCCCAGGACUGCCAGGCUGGCCACCUCGUGCUCCAUGUCAAGAUCGACGGCCGCGUCAGGUGGAAGGUCGGCAGCUGGAUCUCUGGCCACUACCACCUCUUCGUCACCUGCCAGGCCUUGCUCGAGACCGUCAGCGGAAACGGCGCACCAGAGGCAAGCGGGUUCAAGUUCCAGAAAACCACUGGCUGCCACGUAGAGGUCUAG